UACAGAGGGUGCGAGCGUUAAUCGGAAUUACUGGGCGUAAAGCGUGCGCAGGCGGCUUUGCAAGACAGAUGUGAAAUCCCCGGGCUCAACCCGGGAACUGCGUCCGAUACUGGCAGGCUUGGAAUCCGGGAGAGGGAUGCGGAAUUCCAGGUGUAGCGGUGAAAUGCGUAGAUAUCUGGAGGAACACCGGUGGCGAAGGCGGCAUCCUGGACCGGCAGUUGACGCUGAC
rnacentral:rRNA from 1 species